rfam:Otolemur garnettii contig010386, whole genome shotgun sequence.
AUCUCGUGAUGGCUGUGCCUGUCAGUUACGUGGAGCUUUGCCCAGGGAUUUCCUGAGCCUGCUGGAUUUACAGGGAUAUUUGGCCAUCUGAGGAU